ensembl:lncRNA NCKAP5-AS2 NCKAP5 antisense RNA 2
AGACUGUCCCCCUUCAGGUGUCCUGGUGCAGGCUUUCAGGGAAGGGAGAGCCCCUAACCUCGCCCCACCUCCCAAAACUUCUCCCCCUGCCGUCGGGCUAUGGUCCCUGGUUCCCUUCACGCCCCCACCCCCAGCCUCAGCUCUGUCUGGGUGGAACGAAUGUCUGCUAAUGAACUAAACAAACAGGUCUCUUAAUCUUAUCAUGGAGCUGACCCAGAGACUGGCACAGAUAUCCAAAGUAUCAUAAUUGGCAGGUCAGAAUUAAAACUACAUACAUCAUGGUGACUUUAUAGCUGAGGCAAAGUGGAGCUCAAGUGUUACUUUCCCAGUAAGCAAAUCAUAAUGAAGUAUCAUGCUGGUGACUAAUUUAACUAACAUUGUCCAGGAAAUUGCUGUUGUCCAGGAAGAGAAGAGUUGAGCCGAGUGUCAACUACUAGGCUUCUGGCACCAUCCUGCACAAGAAAUUGGAGCAUAAGGGACAUUUCCACAUUCUAACUUUACAUGAAGACUCAGGACUUUGAAAGCCCAUGAGAAA